rnacentral:rRNA from 1 species
GGGACACGUGGUAUCCUGUCUGAAUAUGGGGGGACCAUCCUCCAAGGCUAAAUACUCCUGACUGACCGAUAGUGAACCAGUACCGUGAGGGAAAGGCGAAAAGAACCCCGGCGAGGGGAGUGAAAAAGAACCUGAAACCGUGUACGUACAAGCAGUGGGAGCACGCUUAGGCGUGUGACUGCGUACCUUUUGUAUAAUGGGUCAGCGACUUAUAUUCUGUAGCAAGGUUAACCGAAUAGGGGAGCCGAAGGGAAACCGAGUCUUAACUGGGCGUUAAGUUGCAGGGUAUAGACCCGAAACCCGGUGAUCUAGCCAUGGGCAGGUUGAAGGUUGGGUAACACUAACUGGAGGACCGAACCGACUAAUGUUGAAAAAUUAGCGGAUGACUUGUGGCUGGGGGUGAAAGGCCAAUCAAACCGGGAGAUAGCUGGUUCUCCCCGAAAGCUAUUUAGGUAGCGCCUCGUGAAUUCAUCUCCGGGGGUAGAGCACUGUUUCGGCAAGGGGGUCAUCCCGACUUACCAACCCGAUGCAAACUGCGAAUACCGGAGAAUGUUAUCACGGGAGACACACGGCGGGUGCUAACGUCCGUCGUGAAGAGGGAAACAACCCAGACCGCCAGCUAAGGUCCCAAAGUCAUGGUUAAGUGGGAAACGAUGUGGGAAGGCCCAGACAGCCAGGAUGUUGGCUUAGAAGCAGCCAUCAUUUAAAGAAAGCGUAAUAGCUCACUGGUCGAGUCGGCCUGCGCGGAAGAUGUAACGGGGCUAAACCAUGCACCGAAGCUGCGGCAGCGACGCUUAUGCGUUGUUGGGUAGGGGAGCGUUCUGUAAGCCUGCGAAGGUGUGCUGUGAGGCAUGCUGGAGGUAUCAGAAGUGCGAAUGCUGACAUAAGUAACGAUAAAGCGGGUGAAAAGCCCGCUCGCCGGAAGACCAAGGGUUCCUGUCCAACGUUAAUCGGGGCAGGGUGAGUCGACCCCUAAGGCGAGGCCGAAAGGCGUAGUCGAUGGGAAACAGGUUAAUAUUCCUGUACUUGGUGUUACUGCGAAGGGGGGACGGAGAAGGCUAUGUUGGCCGGGCGACGGUUGUCCCGGUUUAAGCGUGUAGGCUGGUUUUCCAGGCAAAUCCGGAAAAUCAAGGCUGAGGCGUGAUGACGAGGCACUACGGUGCUGAAGCAACAAAUGCCCUGCUUCCAGGAAAAGCCUCUAAGCAUCAGGUAACAUCAAAUCGUACCCCAAACCGACACAGGUGGUCAGGUAGAGAAUACCAAGGCGCUUGAGAGAACUCGGGUGAAGGAACUAGGCAAAAUGGUGCCGUAACUUCGGGAGAA